CAGCCAUGAAGCUAUUUGAGAGAGAUUCUUGACCUGGUAAAUUACUAAUUAUUGCUAAAUUGCCCUCAAUCAACUUGAGUAUAAUUGAAAUAGCAUGCUUCUCUGACUAGGCAGGCAGUCUAUUUAAUGCUUGUUCAUUACAGCUAAGCUGAAAUUGUUAAGUAUAAUACUCUAAGAAUCAAUACAGGCUCUCCUUUUUAAUUUUCAUUAAUAACUGGCUAGGAAACUGUAUGUCACCUUUUUGUACACACAUAGCAAUAAGAGUCUGACCUACUCUACACAACUCAGAUUGCCCUAUAGAGUGGGAUGAAAGUAUUGUCGCAACUUUUUUGGAGUUACAGAUGAAGAGCAACUUGGAAAAGAGUUAGAAGCCUAAAUAUGGAUUUAUGAGUUGAACUCAAGUCACCCAGGAAGUCAAGGGGCAGGCAUAGCUGGUGGAGCAGCACAACUGCUAACAAGAGGUAGGAGGGCACAUCUAAAAGAAGUACCUCCUUUGUGUCACCGGCAUUACUGGGAAGUGAAAAAAAAUCACUAAGGUGGCUGAGGCUGGCCAGGCGACAGCUGCCCAGAGAUCGGCCAUGGGGUGACGAGAGUCCCCGACGUCCCUUCGGAUCUACGUGAGGGCUCUACUGCUUCCGAUCCAGUCCCGAGUUUAGUGUGCUGUUACAUUUCCUCAUUGGUACCCCUGUCCUGGCUGCCCAUCUUGAGAUUUAUAUCUUCACCAGGGUAAUACCAUGGUUCCAUAAAAGGCGAUAUUUGUUUCUUUGUUUUGCCAUUGGCUGUCGCUCACACUGUCUCACUCAUUCCUUACAUCAGUUGUAUGAAUACAAUUGGUAAUAUAGAGCAAUUCAGCUUUAAGCAAGCACCUAACAUCAUUGGGGAUCUUCCACUGCUUCUGGCUUUGUAACAGCAUAACAGGAAACUGUGCAGGCUCCACUUGAAAGAGCAAAUGGGGUGCAGGGGAGGGGGGGAGGAGGGUGUGUCUGGCUACACCUACAUGCUAGAAAGAGGAGGUGGAUAAGCAUGUACAGGAGUACAGGGGAGUAUGCUGCAUCCUUUUAAGGUCUGUAGCAACUUACACCUAAAUAGUGCAACAGAAAAACACAGGAAGAAUCAUGCCUGACCCAGGUAUUGGAAAUAACGUCUCCUGGUGCUGUCUUGGGGAUGUGAAUGUACUCACUACCCCUUACUUGCCUAUUAACAUUACUGCUAGGUCAUGUAAAAAUGUCUAGGAAGGCACAAUCCUUGACCUAGAGAGCUUACAACCCAUCAUCUCUAUGUGGCAUUAUGGUAAACGUACAGGGAAAAAACACUAAUAUCUUGAUACAGAACAAAUGUAUUAAAAUGUAUUUUGCAACCAUCCUUGGUAAUAAGUCCUAAAAUGUUUUUAGUAUAAUUAAAAAGGAGUCCUUAAUCUAGGAUUAAAAGAACUUUAUUUUCAAGUGGAUCUAUUAAUUUUUAGUAAGUGUUGGGGGUAUGAAAGAUAUCUGAGCCUGUUUUCAGUUGUAAAUCCAGAGUAAGUCCACUGAGUUCUGGAGUUACUUAUGUUGCUGUAAUUGAGAUCAGAAUCUGGACCAAGUGACUAUAUCAUCAUCUUAGAAUCAGAUCCUCAGCUGAUGUAAAUUGACACUGCUCCAUUAACUUCAGACACCAACUGGCCCAAAGAAUUCGCAGGUGCAUAACAAAAAUGUAAAUCGCAGCUAAAUUUUUUCUUAGAGGAUGAUAUUAACUAUAUAACCUAAUGAGUUUAAUCCCGUAAUGCUGGUAUUUAAUCAUGUCAUGUUCUGCUGUUCAUUAUAUCCUACUGCUAGUUAAUUUAUGUCAUGGAGUAAUGAAAGUGUCAAGGUUAAAAAUAUAUCAAUGGCACAUUCUAAUGACUAACUUCUGGUCUUGGACUGAGUUUGUUUCCUCUGCAAAAAGGCAGAAAAUUCUCUCUCCUCUAUAUUUAAAGCUUUUAUAAUUUGGUAACCCUCAAACGUAAUGUUGUGUGCUCUUCUUAUCCUGUUGCCGGAAAUUCAUCCUGGUGCAGACAAUCAAUGUGAGGUCCUCUAUACUACUCAGUCCACAAGUGGAACAAUAAUUCGCAAGGUGAAUGGAACGUCUGAAGCAGAGUUGCACAGUGUAUGUGCUUGCAUAUGAGGGGGAAUGCUCUGCAAGCAACUGCAUGACAUGUUCGCCUGACGAGUAUGGAGUGCAGGUCAAGGGAGAGUCCAAAAGAUCUACAGAGAUUCAGUUUCCUAACACCUACUGAAAGUAGCUUAUGAUUCUAGCUUACUAAGCUAUGAUUAUUUGAUAGUUAUUUUAGGGCCCCACUAGUAUUUGCCUGCAAUGGGGUUAAAAUUGUAUAUUUUGCUUGCCCACACACACAGACACACACACAUACAAUAUUGGGUGCUACGGCUUGUGGCUAUCUGUUGGUCUUAGUGAAGUCAGUUGAGUUACAGCAUGUAUGACUCUACCCCAUUGUGUGGUGACGUACCUCAAUGAGUGGUAAAUUCUGCUGUGCUUUAAAGGUGGCUAAGGAGUGUGGAAGCUAUCACUUGGUGUGCAUUAACCAUUCAGAGCUACACAUUUUAAUUGAAACGGACACCUCAAUUACUGUUCCUGUUUACAAACAUUUUAGCAAUUACACAACUAAGUAAGUAAACUAACUUGCUCUUUUGAAGAACAUCACUAGACAAAUUGAUUGAAAGAGAGAGGCUGCUUUCAUUUUCC